AACCGGAGCUAAUACCGGAUAAUAUAUUGAACCGCAUGGUUCAAUAGUGAAAGACGGUUUUGCUGUCACUUAUAGAUGGAUCCGCGCCGCAUUAGCUAGUUGGUAAGGUAACGGCUUACCAAGGCAACAUGCGUAGCCGACCUGAGAGGGUGAUCAGCCACACUUGAACUGAGACACGGUCCAG
rnacentral:rRNA from 1 species